GGUAAGACGGAGGAGGCUAGCGUUAUUCGGAAGUACUGGGCGUAAAGCGUGCGCAGGCGGUUUGGAAAGAAAGGUGUGAAAUCCCAGAGCUUAACUUUGGAACUGCACUUUUAACUGCCAAGCUAGAGUAUGUCAGAGGGGGGUAGAAUUCCACGUGUAGCAGUGAAAUGCGUAGAGAUGUGGAGGAAUACCGAUGGCGAAGGCAGCCCCCUGGGAUAAUACUGACGCUCAUGCACGAAAGCGUGGGGAGCAAACAG
rnacentral:rRNA from 1 species